ACGCCGUGGCAAGAAAGUUGGUGAGCAGAAUGUUCUGGAAAGUACAGCCAUAGAGCAUGACAGCUGCGUAUGCGAAGCCAAGCGAAGCCUAGUGGUAUCCUGAGUAGCGCGGAGCACGAGGAAUUCUGCGUGAAUCUGCCGGGACCAUCCGGUAAGGCUAAAUACUCCCGAGAGACCGAUAGUGAACCAGUACUGUGAAGGAAAGGUGAAAAGCACUUCGAACAGAAGAGUGAAAUAGUUCCUGAAACCAUGUGCCUACAAGCGGUCGGAGCACUUUUGUGUGACGGCGUGCCUUUUGCAUAAUGAACCUACGAGUUACUUUUUCCGGCGAGGUUAAGGAUUUCAGAUCUGCAGCCGAAGCGAAAGCGAGUCUGAACAGGGCGUAUAGUCGGAAGGAGUAGACGCGAAACCAAGUGAUCUACCCUUGGGCAGGUUGAAGGAUGGGUAACACCAUCUGGAGGACCGAACCAAUAAGCGUUGAAAAGCUUCUGGAUGACCUGAGGGUGGGGGUGAAAGGCUAAUCAAACUUGG
rnacentral:rRNA from 1 species